GCACAAGCAGUGGAGUAUGUGGUUUAAUUCGAAGCAACGCGAAGAACCUUACCAGGUCUUGACAUCCAACUAACGAAGUAGAGAUACAUUAGGUGCCCUUCGGGGAAAGUUGAGACAGGUGGUGCAUGGUUGUCGUCAGCUCGUGUCGUGAGAUGUUGGGUUAAGUCCCGCAACGAGCGCAACCCUUAUGGUCAGUUACUACGCAAGAGGACUCUGGCCAGACUGCCGUUGACAAAA
rnacentral:rRNA from 1 species